rnacentral:rRNA from 1 species
CCUGAUGACCAUAGCGACCUGGAACCACUCCUUCCCAUCCCGAACAGGACAGUGAAACAGGUCUGCGCCGAUGAUAGUGCGGGUUCCCGUGUGAAAGUAGGUCAACGUCAGGC